CGCUUUGUCCGCUUCGAUCCUACAAUUGUGAAUCGGGUCAGGCCUUGACGGGAGCAGCCCUAAUCAUUUGUUUGGGUGCUUAGCGGGUCACAAAGUU
rnacentral:SRP_RNA from 1 species